UUUGGGAAUGCAGCUCAAAAUGGGUGGUGAACUCCAUCUAAAGCUAAAUAUUGGCGAGAGACCGAUAGCGAACAAGUACCGUGAGGGAAAGAUGAAAAGCACUUUGGAAAGAGAGUGAAACAGUACGUGAAAUUGUUGAAAGGGAAACGCUUGAAGUCAGUCGCGUCGUCCGAGACUCAGCCUUGCCUCGGCUUGGUGUACUUCUCGACCGACGGGUCAGCAUCGAUUUUGCCCCUUGGAUAAUGGCGAGGGAAAUGUGGCACCUUUGCGGGUGCGUUAUAGUCCCCCGUCGCAUGCAAGGGUCGGGAUUGAGGAACUCAGCACGCGCCUUUUGGUGUCGGGGUUUUGCCCACGAUACGUGCUUAGGAUGUUGGCGUAAUGGCUUUAAACGACCCGUCUUGAAACACGGACCAAGGAGUCUAACAUGCCCGCGAGUGUUCGGGUGGAAAACCCGUGCGCGCAAUGAAAGUGAAAGUUGGGACCUCUGUCGUGGAGGGCACCGAUGCCCGGACCAGACCUUCUGUGACGGAUCUGCGGUGGAGCGUGUAUGUUAUGGACCCGAAAGAUGGUGAACUAUGCCUGAAUAGGGUGAAGCCAGAGGAAACUCUGGUGGAGGCUCGUAGCGAUUCUGACCGUGCAAAUCGAUCGUCAAAUUUGGGUAUAGGGGCGAAAGAC
rnacentral:rRNA from 1 species